CAAUAGCGUAUAUUAAAGUUGUUGCGGUUAAAAAGCUCGUAGUUGGAGUUCUGCCAGGUGCCGCCUGUCCGCCCCAGUGGUGAGUACGUGGCGCGCAUUUGGCCCUUUCAAGGGGAGCGUAUCUGCACUUUAUUGUGUGGUGCGGGAUCCUUGACUUUUACUUUGAGGAAAUAGGAGUGUUCCAAGCAGGCUCUCGUCGUGCACAGCUCAGCAUGGAAUAAUAGCAUUGGACCUCGAUUCUAAGCUGUUGGUUGCCAGAAGCGAGGUAAUGAUGAAGAGGGAUAGUUGGGGGCAUUCGUAUUUAACUGUCAGAGGUGAAAUUCUUGGAUUUGUUAAGGACGGACUACUGCGAAAGCAUCUGCCAUGGAUGUUUUCAUUGA
rnacentral:rRNA from 1 species